AUCACUUCUCAAACUUUUGGCUAAGAUCAAGUGUAGUAUCUGUUCUUAUCAGUUUUGUAUCUAUCUACCUACCUACCUAUCAUCAGAUAUAAAAGCAGAGAAGGUAAUGGCUUAUUUGGUGCCAUUACAGGAACAACAGAUGUCUUGGACUGUGUCUUUGAUUAGGCCUA
rnacentral:snRNA from 1 species